UUGGACCAGUUUAACGAAGACUACAA
rnacentral:rRNA from 1 species